rnacentral:rRNA from 1 species
GUUCCUCUUCUUCGGAAGCCAGAAAACAGGUGGUGCACGGUUGUCGUCAGCUCGUGUCGUGAGAUGUUGGGUUAAGUCCCGCAACGAGCGCAACCCCUAUCUUAUGUUGCCAGCACUUCGGGUGGGAACUCAUGAGAGACUGCCGCAGACAAUGCGGAGGAAGGCGGGGAUGACGUCAAAUCAUCAUGCCCCUUAUGACCUGGGCUACACACGUACUACAAUGGGAGUUAAUAGACGGAAGCAAUACCGCGAGGUGGAGCAAACCCGAGAAACACUCUCUCAGUUCGGAUCGUAGGCUGCAACUCGCCUACGUGAAGUCGGAAUCGCUAGUAAUCGCAGGUCAGCAUACUGCGGUGAAUACGUUCCCGGGCCUUGUACACACCGCCCGUCACACCACGAAAGUCGGAAGUGCCCAAAGCCGGUGGGGUAACCUUCGGGAGCCAGCCGUCUAAGGUAAAGUCGAUGAUUGGGGUGAAGUCGUAACAAGGUAGCCGUAUCGGAAGGUGCGGCUGGAUCACCUCCUUUCUAGGGAGA